GAUGAACGCUGGCGGCGUGCCUAAUACAUGCAAGUCGAGCGAACGGACGAGAAGCUUGCUUCUCUGAUGUUAGCGGCGGACGGGUGAGUAACACGUGGAUAACCUACCUAUAAGACUGGGAUAACUUCGGGAAACCGGAGCUAAUACCGGAUAAUAUUUUGAACCGCAUGGUUCAAAAGUGAAAGACGGUCUUGCUGUCACUUAUAGAUGGAUCCGCGCUGCAUUAGCUAGUUGGUAAGGUAACGGCUUACCAAGGCAACGAUGCAUAGCCGACCUGAGAGGGUGAUUGGCCACACUGGAACUGAGACACGGUCCAGACUCCUACGGGAGGCAGCAGUAGGGAAUCUUCCGCAAUGGGCGAAAGCCUGACGGAGCAACGCCGCGUGAGUGAUGAAGGUCUUCGGAUCGUAAAACUCUGUUAUUAGGGAAGAACAUAUGUGUAAGUAACUGUGCACAUCUUGACGGUACCUAAUCAGAAAGCCACGGCUAACUACGUGCCAGCAGCCGCGGUAAUACGUAGGUGGCAAGCGUUAUCCGGAAUUAUUGGGCGUAAAGCGCGCGUAGGCGGUUUUUUAGUCUGAUGUGAAAGCCCACGGCUCAACCGUGGAGGGUCAUUGGAAACUGGAAAACUUGAGUGCAGAAGAGGAAAGUGGAAUUCCAUGUGUAGCGGUGAAAUGCGCAGAGAUAUGGAGGAACACCAGUGGCGAAGGCGACUUUCUGGUCUGUAACUGACGCUGAUGUGCGAAAGCGUGGGGAUCAAACAGGAUUAGAUACCCUGGUAGUCCACGCCGUAAACGAUGAGUGCUAAGUGUUAGGGGGUUUCCGCCCCUUAGUGCUGCAGCUAACGCAUUAAGCACUCCGCCUGGGGAGUACGACCGCAAGGUUGAAACUCAAAGGAAUUGACGGGGACCCGCACAAGCGGUGGAGCAUGUGGUUUAAUUCGAAGCAACGCGAAGAACCUUACCAAAUCUUGACAUCCUUUGACAACUCUAGAGAUAGAGCUUUCCCCUUCGGGGGACAAAGUGACAGGUGGUGCAUGGUUGUCGUCAGCUCGUGUCGUGAGAUGUUGGGUUAAGUCCCGCAACGAGCGCAACCCUUAAGCUUAGUUGCCAUCAUUAAGUUGGGCACUCUAAGUUGACUGCCGGUGACAAACCGGAGGAAGGUGGGGAUGACGUCAAAUCAUCAUGCCCCUUAUGAUUUGGGCUACACACGUGCUACAAUGGACAAUACAAAGGGCAGCGAAACCGUGAGGUCAAGCAAAUCCCAUAAAGUUGUUCUCAGUUCGGAUUGUAGUCUGCAACUCGACUACAUGAAGCUGGAAUCGCUAGUAAUCGUAGAUCAGCAUGCUACGGUGAAUACGUUCCCGGGUCU
rnacentral:rRNA from 1 species